rnacentral:lncRNA from 1 species
UGCGCUAUAGCUACCUGUCUCCUGGUCAAUCCCAAGGCUGGCCAUUGCCCAUUCAUAGGACUUGGGUUACUUUUUCAGUGCUAAGGUAGGAAAUAAAUCUACAAAGAAAGAAGAGAUGAUUAAGAAGAGAGGUGGGUUAGGUCGGAUUGAAGUUUGCUUUUGGACCUGGCUGGCAUUUAGCUUUCUGACUGUACUAGUCCUUGUGAUUCAGCAGUAGCUGACCAAUAUUGGUCCCCCAACCCCAACUCCAUCCCCUCUCUACCCUUCCCCCAACAGGUUCUCUUUACGUGCAGCUCCUAGCCUCCCUCUACUCUCCACUCCAAAAUGUCCUGGUCUGGCCAAGGACUCCCUAGCCUUGCUUUUCAAAAGGCUCCUCACCAGCUCUGAACACCACCGGCUCCCCCUCCUCCCUGCCAGCCCGGCUGGAGUCCGCAGGCACGCCAGGCACACGUGGAAUGCUGCCAGUCGCAGGAGAUCCCAAGCGAGAUAAAAAGCGCACAUCUUUGACCACUUCUUUACCAAACAGACCCAAGAUGUGUAAUUAAAGGCCCCGGGACUCUGCUGGAAAUAGGUUUAAACUUGAGGUAAUCCCUUCUGGCACUUCCUCUUCCUAAUGACAUCAACAGAAAUCAAACAAAUCCACCUGGCUCCAGUCAGUAAGUCUGUAACCAGCAAAGGUCACGGGAGGAGCGAUAAGAACAAGAAAGCGGCCACAAACCGCGUUACUGGAAACACAUGUUGGGACGUGUUGGAAAGCAACCCCCGCCAGGUCCCUGCUCGCUCUGGGACAGCGACGAGGCGAGCAGCCUUCCCCGCCUCUGCCUCCGCCUCCCCAGCCAGCACUUUAUUUUUCUUUACCUCCUAGACUAAGACUUGGGUACGGGGGCAAGGGUGAGACCAUGGUUUGUUCGGAGGUGGGGGAAGAAAGGCUUGCCACUGUAGAACUGGGAGGGCAGCUUCACCCCUUAUUCAGCAGCGAGGACCCCUGCAGACUGCCUUGGGAACCCGCCUUCAGUCUCCUACUGCCGGCAUGUACAGAUAGCAGAGAUACAAGCAGGCUCGCAUGGGAAAGUGAUUCUUCAAACUUUUAAACCGCCCUGCGCUGUUUUAUUACCAGGUCGGGCAGUUGCAACAGACCUCGCCAGCGUGGCUUAAGCAACACAACAAUGUUCUCACAGCUCAGGAGGCUGAGAAGUUCGUUCAGGGUGCUCAGCUGGUUCCUGGAGAGGUCUUCCCUUUCUUGCUUGCUUGUCGACGGUAAGCAAGCCUUUGCCUGGCAAAGAGCGAUCUGCCUCUUUUUAUAAAGGUGUCACCCAGGGUGAACCCCACUAAUCCCAUGACCUCCUCACAGGCGCUGUCUCCAAAUGCAGCUACACCAGGUGGCUACAGCUUUUCACUUCCGAGUUUGGAGAGACCGUGAUUCAGCCCACAGCACUCAAGUGUGAUUGGAGUAUUCGAAGGACAGUGAGGGAAACAGGACCACACAUGAUGGCUCUUCAAGUCCCACUCAGAGAAUGCGUGGUGCUAUAGAGACCCAGCAAAGGGAGGCUAGAGAGACGGCUCCGUGUUAAGAUCACUUAAUGCUCUCCCAGAGGACCUGAGUUCGGUUCCCAGAGCUUACUCCAGGGUUCACAACUGCCUGGACCUUCAACUCCAGGGCAUCUAAACCCACUGCCCUCUUCUGGCCCUCACAGGUAGACUGACAGCUUACGAGUCACAGCAGUCCUCCUGUUCCCGCUCCCCACAGACCUGCAGCUACAGGCCCACUGGAGACCAUGUCCAGCUUGCUACCUGGGUGCUGAGAUUUGAACCCAGGUCCUCAUGGUUGUGCUGCAAGGGCUCUCAGCCAUCUCUCAGUCCUCCAAGAGAAAAAUUUAAAAGCCUGUUUCCCUUUAUCUCUUUUAAUUAGUGUAUUAAAUAGUGUGUGUGUGUGUGUGUGUGUGUGUAUGUGUGUGUGUGUGUGAGCAUGCACACGCAAGUAUGAGUGUGAAAUUCAGAGGCCAGUUUUUGGAAGCCAGCUCUCUUCUACCAGCUUAUGUGGGUUCUGGGGAUCCCCACUCUCCCAUCUCUGCCUGCUGCCAGGACAACUUGACGAGAGGCACCAUGCCCGGCCAUUAAUCUGUUCUCUGUCACUAGUCCUUUGCCUGGGGGUACCCUGGGUGCCACAUUUGCACAUUGUGUACACUCCAUUUGUACACACACCACUGGAACCAGGAACAUUUGCUCAUGCUUGCUGGCCUUUUUUAAAAGGCAAACUCUUAAAGUAUGUUAUAAGCUAUGUGUGAUUUCCCUGAACAUUUCCAUGUGCGUGUGUCAGAUGUUAAGAGUGUGUUCCUUGGUGGCUUCUGUGCUGUAUCAGAGCAUAGAAAUGCCGCAAAUGCCAUGAGAUACCAGAUCCACAUCUGCAUUUCUUCAGUGUCCCCACAAAUAUCUCCUACAGCUGACUUGUCCAAAUCAGGACCAGAUAGAGAGCCUGGUAGUUACGGCUUUUAAGAUACUUUUAUUGACGAACAUGCCUGGCUCCUUUCCCUCCUUCUCCUUCUAUAUGAUAUCAGACACUGCCUUGUUAAGAUACCGGGCAGGUUGCCUGCUCCUGUGGGGUGGGUCUGCCUGUCUCCCGAGAUGUUUGACUCCUCCCAUCCAUCGCCCCCCUUCAGAGAGGCCUGAAGUUAGGGUUAAGAGCUUAAUUCUGUUCAGAAUGGCCACACGCCCCACUUCCUGGAACCUCCCAUUAAGAGGCAUAUCUUGUUUGCCCCUGCUGUUCUGACGAUGUCUAGAGUAAGAAGGUCCAGUCAGUGUCAAAUUACUUUUGCCAUUUGUUCUACUUGCAGCCGACACACAACACAGUGCAGGGGACAGGGCUUUGGUACCACCUGAAUAUCCAGUUCACCAAAGACAAGAUUUAACCAAUAGCAUUUGAGUCCUUUAUUAUCCCUGAAGGAAUCCUCUGUUUUGUCGGGGCUUCGCAAAAGUGACCUCCUAAUGAUUGGCCUUUCUAUACUGUAAUCUUGAAUCUGUAAAAGAAGACCAGCCCUCUCUUAUUACCCUGAAAUUUAGUUCUUCCUGGCAAGUUGGGAUAAAGGCUGAAUUCCUGAGUUUCCAAGGGUAACCCUGGUCUUUAGGAGGCUGUAGAAUGAACGCGACUGGGGAGCUUGAGGGUCUCCAGAGGAAACUUCAUUUCCUCCACUUUCCCCUGAGAUCACCCCACUUUUUGGGAAACCAGCCAGAGGGACACACGUGUUCUCGAAAGUUCCCGAGUGCGAGCAUUUGUGGCAGGCAGCUGCAGAGCCCCCAGAGCUUUCCACCGAAGCAGAGAGGAAGGGUGUUAGACUUGGUUCCUUCCUCCCCGGAUGCUUAGGGUCCUCAUUCUUUUGGAAUGGGGGGUGGGGGUGGAUCUUUGGGGUGGGACUCUCAUCUCAGGGCUCUUCGCUCUGGCUCUGCUUUGAAGGGACAAGCUCCCGUCAGUCUUCUUUCCAAAUGGCCAUGCGUUUUCCAGUCUUUACUUACUUUGCCCUGACUAACAACAGGCCAAAGGGUUAUCUGUCCAACAUUCACCUAAUGGUAGGAAAGCGUCACCGGUGGUUCAGUUUAUUACCCAGCUGACCCUCCGAGGGACAACCUUAAAGAGCUCAUUGUUCAGUUUGAAUGACUGAUGCUCGCAUACAGAAAGUGGAGUGGGAAGCGUCAGCCCAAAUGGAUGUGUGGAAGCAAACACUAAACCCCCUAUCCUGAUCACCUAUUGGUCUCCUGCCAUAUAUUGAUCCAUUAGCCUCAAACGCCUCUCGGAGAUGGGUAGCAUCGUCCUAUAGUUCUGAUGAGAUAACUGCACAGCCUAUCCAGGGCCACUCGGCUCUUACACUCAGGCCCUGUGUGAGCCACGCCUGCAUUCCACCUAGCACCGGGUACUGUUUGUUCUCUUACCAAGUGUUCUGUGAAACAGGAGUAUAGAGAAAUGGGGCUGUCAUGGUUACUAUAUAACAUUGUUGCUUUGGGAUUUCCCCCAUUUCACAUGUAACUAUUGAAACAAUAUUGUGUUAACUAUGUAUUAAAUAUAUUGCAUAGUAAAGAAAAUCUUCAUAGGAAAAAAUAUGCCUUAUAACCACAGCACCUUAAUUUAAUAAGUGCUUUUAUUUUUAAAUAUCUCCCUCAGAUCUUUGCCCCUAGGCGUUGGUAUUCCUGCAUAGGACUGAUCAGCACAGAUGCUAUUUCAUGCUUUCUUGUUUGACUUUAUAUGCAUUAUAAAUAUUUUUAUGAAGCCCUUACAUUUUCAGGGUUACAGACUGGAUCCUACCUCACUGGGUAAGUACAGCAUUUACUUAGCCAAUCUAACUCGUGUAGGCCUCAUCUGGAUAGAUAUACAUUUCUGCUAGAAAAAGAAAAACAAAGUGAGGCUAGAGAGUUGGCUUAGCAGUUAAAAGCACUGACUGCUCUUCCAGAAGUCCUGAGUUCAAAUCCUUAGCACCCACAUGGUGGCUCACAGGGUCUAUAACUGUAUUCCUCGGAAUCCUAUGUCUUCUUCUGGUGUGCAGAUGUACAUGAAAAUCAAACACCCAUAUACAUCAAAUACACAAGGAAAUAAAUCUUUUUUUUUUUAAGUGAGAUUCUCUGUGGAUUUUUCUUUUGACCCUCUUGUAAAUUCUUAAGAGAAACUCCUAGGGGUUGGCUACCUGACUCAAAAAGCUAGACAUUCUUUGUUUUUUGAGAUAGGGUUUCUCUGUGUAUCCCUGACUGUCCUGGAACUCACUAUAUAAGACCAGGCUGGCCUGGAACUGUAGAAAUCUGACUGCCUCUGCCUCUGCCUCUGCCUCUGCCUCUGCCUCUGCCUCUGCCUCUGCCUCUGCCUCUGCCUCUGCCUCUGCCUCUGCCUCUGCCUCUGCCUCUGCCUCUGCCUCUGCCUCUGCCUCUGCCUCUGCCUCUGCCUCUGCCUCUGCCUCUGCCUCUGCCUCUGCCUCUGCCUCUGCUGAAAUUAAAGUUGUAUGCUCCCACCACCUGGUAAAGCUGAGCAUUUGAUGGUACUUGACAUGCGUUGCUAAGUUGCUCUCUGGAAGACUGUACCAUCGGGAGGCCAAGGCCUUGUCAAUGCUGGGUGGUGCC